GACUCAACACGGGGAAACUCACCAGGUCCAGACAUAACUAGGAUUGACAGAUUGAUAGCUCUUUCUUGAUUUUAUGGGUGGUGGUGCAUGGCCGUUCUUAGUUGGUGGAGUGAUUUGUCUGGUUAAUUCCGAUAACGAACGAGACCUUAACCUGCUAAAUAGCCAGACCGUCUUUUGAUGGUUGCAGGCUUCUUAGAGGGACUGUCAGGAUCUACCUGACGGAAGUUUGAGGCAAUAACAGGUCUGUGAUGCCCUUAGAUGUUCUGGGCCGCACGCGCGCUACACUGACAAAGCCAGCGAGUUUAUCACCUUGGCCGGAAGGUCCGGGUAAUCUUGUGAAACUUUGUCGUGCUGGGGAUAGAGCAUUGCAAUUAUUGCUCUUCAACGAGGAAUGCCUAGUAAGCGCAAGUCAUCAGCUUGCGUUGAUUACGUCCCUGCCCUUUGUACACACCGCCCGUCGCUACUACCGAUUGAAUGGCUUAGUGAGGUCUUUGGAUUGGCUUUAGGGACCCGGCAACGGGACUCUGUUGCUGAGAAGUUGAUCAAACUUGGUCAUUUAGAGGAAGUAAAAGUCGUAACAAGGUUUCCGUAGCUCAAGUCUACGAAGAACAGUAAUGUUCCUUCCGCAGAGUACACUUGCAGAAGCCUUAGUGGCCUGAAAUGGUUUCAUCAGCGACUCUAAACAAGUAGGUGGAUUAAAUGCUAGUCUCUUUCAAAGAGGCAACACUAUCAAAUUGCGGGAAGAUCCUGUCAGGUCCACAUCACCGCGGCUCACCGAAAGGUGUAGUGCAGCACCAGGCUAACAACCUUGGGUAUGGUAAUAGUGUGUGGAAUAGGGAGAAUCUGCAGCCAAGCCCCUCUCUUGGGGUGCAGUUCACAGGCCAAAUGGUAGUGGGCACUCUGGUGCUUAAGAUAUGGUCGAGUCCCAAUUGAAAAAUUGGGUACAAGUACUCUGAUUGAUUACAUACAGUCUAUGUUCAGUCGAAUACAGCUAGUUGUAAAUGCAAAUGUUCCGUAGGUGAACCUGCGGAAGGAUCUUUAAUGAAUUAAAGUCGGUCUUCUGUGCUGGUGGCAACACAUGUGCACGCUGAUCGCAAAUCCACACACCUGUGCACCUUUGACUUUGGGAUCUGCUUACUGACUUGGCUUUGUGCCUGUCUGGGUCCCAGAGUAUUUUUACACACUCUGAAUGUAAUGGAAUGUAUCUGUGCAUAAUGCGCAAAAAUACAACUUUCAACAACGGAUCUCUUGGCUCUCGCACCGAUGAAGAACGCAGCGAAAUGCGAUAAGUAAUGUGAAUUGCAGAAUUCAGUGAAUCAUCGAAUCUUUGAACGCACCUUGCACCCUUUGGUAUUCCCGAAGGGUACACCCGUUUGAGUGUCAUUGUAAUCUCACUCCACCAGCUAUUUGUUGAUGGAUGUGGACCUGGACUCUGUUGUGUUACUACAACUGGUCUGAAAUGCAUGAGUGCACCCUGCUAUUGCAGCGUUUUCAGUGUGAUAAGCAUCUUCACUGGACCAAGCUCCCUUGGGACACGCAGCAUUGUGGGCUCUGUGCUGGCAAACUGUCUUUGGACAACUUUGACAAUUUGACCUCAGAUCGGGUGGGACUACCCGCUGAACUUAAGCAUAUCAAUAAGCGGAGGAAAAGAAACUAACAAGGAUUCCCCUAGUAACGGCGAGUGAAGAGGGAAAAGCUCAAAUUUUGAAUCUGGUGUCUUUGGCAUCCGAGUUGUAAUCUAGAGAAGUGUUUUUUGCCUUGGACCACACAUAAAUUCCCUGGAAUGGGGUGUCAUAGAGGGUGAGAAUCCCGUUUGUGGUGUGGACUACCUUGGCUAUGUAAUACACUCUCAACGAGUCGAGUUGUUUGGGAAUGCAGCUCAAAAUGGGUGGUAAAUUCCAUCUAAAGCUAAAUACUGGCGAGAGACCGAUAGCGAACAAGUACCGUGAGGGAAAGAUGAAAAGCACUUUGGAAAGAGAGUGAAACAGUACGUGAAAUUGUUGAAAGGGAAGCGUUUGAAGUCAGUCACAUUGGUCAGAAUUCAGCCUGGCUUCUGCCUGGUUCACUUUUUGGCAAAUGGGUCAGCAUCAAUUUUGAUUGAGGGAGAAAGACUUGAGGAAUGUGGCUGUCUUUGGGCAGUGUUAUAGCCUCUUGUUGUAUGUCUCAAUUGGGAUUGAGGAAUGCAGCACGCCUUAUGGCCGGGGUUCGCCCUCGGUACGUGCUUAGGAUGUUGACAUAAUGGCUUUAAGCGACCCGUCUUGAAACACGGACCAAGGAGUCUAACAUGUGCGCGAGUGUUUAGGUGUCAAACCUGGGCGCGUAAUGAAAGUGAAAAGUCGGGAUCAUGUACUUGUGCACCGACACCCGGAGCAGACCUUCUGUGACGCAUCCGCGGUAGAGCGUAUAUGUUGGGACCCGAAAGAUGGUGAACUAUGCCUGAAUAGGGUGAAGCCAGAGGAAACUCUGGUGGAGGCUCGUAGCGAUUCUGACGUGCAAAUCGAUCGUCAAAUUUGGGUAUAGGGGCGAAAGACUAAUCGAACCAUCUAGUAGCUGGUUCCUGCCGAAGUUUCCCUCAGGAUAGCAGAAACUCAUUAUCAGCCUUGUGCGGUAAAGCGAAUGAUUAGAGGCCUUGGGGUUGAAACAACCUUAACCUAUUCUCAAACUCUAAAUGUGCAAGAUAGAGUUGUCACUUGAUUGGACUUCUCUGUGGGUGAGAGUUUCUAGUGGG
rnacentral:rRNA from 1 species